CCUACGGGAGGCAGCAGUGGGGAAUUUUGGACAAUGGGGGCAACCCUGAUCCAGCCAUGCCGCGUGCAGGAUGAAGGUCUUCGGAUUGUAAACUGCUUUUGUCAGGGACGAAAAGGACUGUGCCAAUACCAUAGUCUGCUGACGGUACCUGAAGAAUAAGCACCGGCUAACUACGUGCCAGCAGCCGCGGUAAUACGUAGGGUGCAAGCGUUAAUCGGAAUUACUGGGCGUAAAGCGUGCGCAGGCGGUUCUGUAAGACAGAUGUGAAAUCCCCGGGCUUAACCUGGGAAUUGCAUUUGCGACUGCAGGACUAGAGUUCAUCAGAGGGGGGUGGAAUUCCAAGUGUAGCAGUGAAAUGCGUAGAUAUUUGGAAGAACACCAAUGGCGAAGGCAGCCCCCUGGGAUGCGACUGACGCUCAUGCACGAAAGCGUGGGGAGCAAACAGGAUUAGAUACCCUGGUAGUCCACGCCCUGAACGAUGUCUACUGGUUGUUGGGGAUUUAUAUCCUUGGUAACGAAGCUAACGCGUGAAGUAGACCGCCUGGGGAGUACGGUCGCAAGAUUAAAACUCAAAGGAAUUGACGG
rnacentral:rRNA from 1 species